rnacentral:rRNA from 1 species
GACGAACGCUGGCGGCGUGUUUAACACAUGCAAGUCGAACGGAAAGGCCCUGCUUUUGUGGGGUGCUCGAGUGGCGAACGGGUGAGUAACACGUGAGUAACCUGCCCUUGACUUUGGGAUAACUUCAGGAAACUGGGGCUAAUACCGGAUAGGAGCUCCUGCUGCAUGGUGGGGGUUGGAAAGUUUCGGCGGUUGGGGAUGGACUCGCGGCUUAUCAGCUUGUUGGUGGGGUAGUGGCUUACCAAGGCUUUGACGGGUAGCCGGCCUGAGAGGGUGACCGGCCACAUUGGGACUGAGAUACGGGCCAGACUCCUACGGGAGGCAGCAGUGGGGAAUAUUGCACAAUGGGCGGAAGCCUGAUGCAGCAACGCCGCGUGCGGGAUGACGGCCUUCGGGUUGGAAACCGCUUUCGCCUGUGACGAAGCGUGAGUGACGGUAAUGGGUAAAGAAGCACCGGCUAACUACGUG